CGACGGGGAUGGUACAUGCGAGGGAGUAGUUUACUAUGACCAGACAAGUGCCAUCCUAGUGGCGGACGGGUGAGUAACGCGUGGGCAACCUGCCCUGUACAGGGGGAUAACACUUAGAAAUAGGUGCUAAUACCGCAUGAGCGCACAAAGGCGCAUGCCUAUGUGCGGGAAGCCCGCGAGGGCGGUACGGGAUGGGCCCGCGUCUGAUUAGCCAGUUGGCAGGGUAACGGCCUACCAAAGCGACGAUCAGUAGCCGGCCUGAGAGGGUGGACGGCCACAUUGGGACUGAGACACGGCCCAAACUCCUACGGGAGGCAGCAGUGGGGGAUAUUGCACAAUGGGGGAAACCCUGAUGCAGCGACGCCGCGUGAGUGAAGGAGCGUUUCGGCGCGUAAAGCUCUAUCAGCAGGGAAGACAAACUGCCCCGGAAGGGGCAGCCGGACGGUACCUGACCAAGAAGCCCCGGCUAACUACGUGCCAGCAGCCGCGGUAAUACGUAGGGGGCAAGCGUUAUCCGGAUUUACUGGGUGUAAAGGGAGCGUAGACGGCAAGACAAGCCUGGAGUGAAAGGCGGGGGCCCAACCCCCGGACUGCUCUGGGAACUGUCUGGCUGGAGUGCAGGAGGGGUAAGUGGAAUUCCUAGUGUAGCGGUGAAAUGCGUAGAUAUUAGGAGGAAACACCAGUGGCGAAGGCGGCUUACUGGACUGUAACUGACGUUGAGGCU
rnacentral:rRNA from 1 species